rnacentral:rRNA from 1 species
GUAGGUGGCAAGCGUUGUCCGGAAUUAUUGGGCGUAAAGCGCGCGCAGGCGGUUCUUUAAGUCUGAUGUGAAAGCCCACGGCUCAACCGUGGAGGGUCAUUGGAAACUGGAGAACUUGAGUACAGAAGAGGAAAGCGGAAUUCCACGUGUAGCGGUGAAAUGCGUAGAGAUGUGGAGGAACACCAGUGGCGAAGGCGGCUUUCUGGUCUGUAACUGACGCUGAGGCGCGAAAGCGUGGGGGAGCAAACAGGAUUAGAUACCCUGGUAGUCCACGCCGUAAACGAUGAGAGCUAAGUGUUAGGGGGUUUUCCGCCCCUUAGUGCUGCAGCUAACGCAUUAAGCACUCCGCCCUGGGAGUACGGCCGCAAGGCUG